rnacentral:lncRNA from 1 species
GACGACUGCAUGAUAGCAAUACAGAGAGCCACGCGCUCAACCAAAACGCCACUCUAUAGCCACAAAUAAUGCUCAGAACAGCACCUAACUUCAUCAACAGUACAUAUAGGGUCCCAGCCAUAGUACUAGCCACCAAACAUCUUUUAAACUUUAACUAAUUUCUUUAGCAAAGUGACUAAACACAACUCACCUACUCUCUUCCAGCAGCCGCUUGUUUGUAUGGAGACCUCAGGACAGUCCAUUACAGACUACAGCGGGGUGACGCAGCUCAAGGAAGAACAUUCAUGAUCAUUUCUUCAUGGAAAUACAAUCAGACCGAGAAGCUAAGGCAGAGGAACUACCGAGUCUGCAGUGAAAAAUGAUUAAUAUGAUGAUUAUUACUUCAAGGAAAUUUUCAUAAAUGUUCUUCCUUAAGCUGCGUCACCCCGCUGUAGUCUGUAGUGGACUGGCCUGAGGUCUCGCUACAAAGAGCGGCUGCAGCGUGUGUUUGACCCUAAAUUAAUUUUACGCCGGAAUAUCCCUUUAAUUUUAAGAGUUCUUUGGGUUGGAUUAAGUCUUUUUUACGUGCUUCAAACUCAGUAAGUCCACGCGACACAACCUCAAAACUUCCGUACAAACCCCGGACAUUUGAAGGAUUUUAUAAACUCCCCUGGACAGACCGGACAGCCCCACGACAGAGAGCAUGUCCUGGUUAAAGAAGAUGUAUGGUCACCCUAGUUAAAGAGGACCAGUCUGCUGUGGUUGACCUUGUAUUUCUGGUUCUGCGCUGGUUUUGGAUGCAGAUGUGAAAUACAUUGACUCCUGGGGGCAGUACUGGCUCAAGGUGAGCUCACUGGUAGUAGAGAUGACUUUAUUGAAGAGGACUGUGUCCCUCUGCUGCUCUGUGACUGAUGGUGGACAUUCAAAGGGUGUGUGUGUGUGUGUGUGUGUGUGUUAAUAUAGAGCAUACUAUAGGGACAGAACCCUCAGUGUGAGUGUGUUUCAUGUUCAGAUUAGAAACUAAAACCAAGAGAAGUUGCUAAACCUAGAAUGGGAAUCACCUUAUGGAAAGGACAACUGGACUUAUAGGCGAAACGUCCCAAAUAAGUCCAGUUGUCCUUUCAACGAAGAAUUGGAAAUCCUAGAAGCUGAAUCCUCAGUUUUAAAGGUGUUGCUUUAUGAGUCUUUAAAUGUAACACCAACUUAUUGUUUUUGGGUCUCAGGUUGGGAGUAUUAGCAGAGUAUUAUUGUGCCGUUCUUCACAUUUAAUUUCUCUUUUUUUCUCUCUCUUUGUUUUUGCAGUUUUUUAUCGCCCUCUCUCCUCAUUUUUCUCCUCAGACGAUCCUUUGCGGUCUUCUCUCUACAUUUCCUCUAAAACCGUACAAUCACUCUUCUGAAGUUGUAUCACAGCAGGAGCAGCAGAAACAUCUUUUUCUUUUUACAGGAUGUUUAGGAUGGGCGUUUGGGAAUAACGUGAUAAUGUGGUUGGUCUGUUUGUCGUUUUCACAGCAGGAGGACAGCUGAUGUGACCGAUCAAUAGGUUUGUGGGCGCCCUGAUUUCAUUAAAAACUUGCCUGGGAACAGAAUGAGUCAACAGCCACGAGGAGAUAACGCAGAGCAGGCCAGCAGAGAGCAGGGACGUUUCAGAGAUUUUCAGUGACCAUCCAUCUAUGGUGUGUGUGUGUGUGUGUGUGUGUGUGUGUGUGUGUGUGUGUGUGUGUGUGUGUGUGUGUGUGUGUGUGUGCGCUCCCCCAGAGAUCCUUUAAAAGCGUCUUACAUCACUUAUGAUGCAAAAGGUUUCUGGGAACUCCACAGCAGACAGCAGUGGUUCCUCAAACAUGAAGAAACACUGAAACUGUCAGAGCUGCUUCGACCUAAAGUGAUGAUUUCCAGAUUCCUGAACAGGCUACUGUGAAAACGGGAGUCACAGGACCGAAUCGAGCAAUAAAAUCCAGAUGGGAGUGACUUUGAUUCAUGACUCAGAGUUUUCUUGAUGCCGAAGCGAUUUAUAUCCUUUAACUCCAACUUUAGUUCAAGAGAAACUUUAAGUUUUACCCCGCAGAGCUCUAAAGUUUGUGAUCCAGCUCUGCUUUCAUUGCUCAGCUUGUUUGUGUGAUCAGGAGCUGGGAGAGCUCCCCCUGCUGACUAGCUGCAGUAAAGGUCGUAAAGACACUUUGUCAAAAUUUCCACCGCAUCCAGAACGGCUCCGAUCCGGAACGGUGACAAUUUUUGCCGUCUGCCAAUUCCUACCAGAUCUGUUGGUGAAAUACGAUCCGCCUAAAACAAGUAGUGCCGGAUGACUUAUUUUCUGUCUGUGCCCGACUUCCUUUUCAGCACCGGUUAAUCUGUGCUGAAUUUACCCGGCAUGCUGCGGCGUCCACAAAAAAACAGAAUUCUUGCGAUCAGCUGCAGAGUCUGGCGAUUCACAGAGGAACAGAAAGAAGCCGGUGGAAAUUGACACGUUAACUUGAAUGGUUAUGAUCAGCCACGAUCGGCAGAUACAACCUUUUCCUAGCCGUUCCAGAUGCGGUGGAAAUUGGGGGUUGCCCAGGAUUUCCACCGCAUCCGGAACGGCUCCGAUCCAGAACAAUGGCGAUUUUUGCCGUCCGCCAAUUCCGACCGGAUUUGUUUGUGAGGCAAAUUUCUUGGUGGAGUACGGACAGUAGGAUUCGCAAGAACUCCUGAAAACCUGCAGAUUCAUGUGCAUUAGUGCAAUAACAAGUUGUCUAGGGUCACAUAGGCUAACCAUAUAAGCAGUAGAUUGUGUCCUUCCGGAGGAGGAAAUCUACUUCUAGACUUCUAGAAUCAGCAUCUCCUCAUCCAUGGUGUCAUCGGGGUGAAAUGACGUCUAAAAACCUUUCACUUGUUCGUCUCCGCCUGUUUGCAUGGUGUGAAAUACGAUCCUUUCCAGCACGGGUUAAUCUGUGCUGAAUUUACCUGGCAUGCUCCGGCGUCCGGAAAAAAUAGAACUCCUGCGAUCAGCUGUGGAGUCUGGCGAUCUGCAGCGGAACGGAAAUAAGCCGGUGGAAAUUGACAUGUUAACUUGAAUGGUUACGAUCAGCUACAAUCGGCGGAUACGGCCUUUUCGUUCUUCAGGGCAUUAAAAACUGACAGGACUCUGGAGUGGAAAUCAUCGCAUGGAAAGGACAACUGGACUUACUUGAGACGUUUCGCCUUAGGUGAGUCCAGUUGUCCUUACAACGAAGAACUGGAAAUCAUAGUUGUUGUAUCCUCAGUUUUAAUGUGUCCUGAUCUUCUUUCACUGCUCAGCUUAUUUGUGUGAUCUAGAGCUGUGAGAGCUCCCUCUGCUGACUGGCUGCAGUUUCCAUGUAAACAGAUGGGAUGUGGUCUGAUGGCGGCACACUUUCGUCCAGAUUUGACUUGAUCUAAAUUAGCUGCUUCUCCUUUUUCAUUUGUCUGUUCACAUAAGACUGAGGUUGUGUUUGGUAGCAGUUCAAUCCCUGUUUGGUUCACUUGAACAUCAGUCGUGUUGAGGUGAUGGUCGACCACUUCGGUCACACUGACAGUUUUCGUCCUCUCAAGGGUUUUUCCAGAUCAACUUUCUAAGAACGUCUUUUUGUUCUCUGUCGCUCUCUUCAGCAGCAGCAGCUCAUAUGCUGCGGGUUUGUUUCACCCCAGAGACCUCAUGUUUGGGUAAAACUGAAGAAUAAAAUAAACAGAAAUGUGGUGGACCCCUCUUGGAGGCUGCCCUCAAAAGACCCCCCACCACAACCCCUCCAUGCCUGGUUUCCACAGAGCCUGAUACAUCCUCAUGGAGGCAAAGAGAAGUCCGGCCAGCAGCACACAGCCAGCUCACUGAGGCUGAUUACACAAUUUACCCCAAAGUUUUCAUCCAUGGGGGAGUGUGUGUGUGUGUGAGUGUGUGUGUGUGUGUGUGUGUAUGCGCCUCAUAACAAAAGCACAGAGGGCUCAUUCACUCAUGUCUCCUGGAUCCAAUUUAAGAGUCAGAGCGGGGGUCUUUCCUCAAACUAUUGUCUUUGUCUUUAAGUUGCAACAUCUAGGAUUUAUCCUCAUAUCCCCCUUUAAGCUUUGACUGUAAAUAUCGACGUCCUCAGAGGCCGUCUGUCAGGCUGUUUUUUUUUUUUAUUAUUAUUCAACAAUAACUGCUGUGAUUUAGAUCUCAGAUUUAUACCUGUGAGAAAAAAGCGCAGGGACAGAGGGAUUGUGGGUAGGGGAGAGUGGGGUAAAAUGAUCCAUUGUUCAUAUUUGGGAUCACUACAUCAAGUCAAUUCUAGUUUUGUCUCUAACUAGUGUAUCUGCAGAUAUUUCAGGAUGUUCUUCAUGCCUGCAAACCAACAGAAUGAGUGUAAACAGAACUGUAAUCUUGAUAAUAUAGCAUGACAAAAAAAGUGGUCUCCUAUGGUCAACUUACCCCAUGUAUGUAUGGGAGGGGUAAGUUGAGCUAUAGCCCUACUAACUACGACCUAGAAUGACCACGACUUUAUUAGUCCUCUAAGCUAAAAUGGUGGACUUUUAUGUUAAAAAGCGUUUUAGUAAAAAAAAAAAAACAUUUGAACAUGAGAAUGUCUUUAAGUGAAAAGAAAAAGUCAAACAUUUCAACAAUCUGAACUGAAACUCUGAUCCUCUCAUCAGACUCCUUUACUUUCUCUGUUACCCCAGAACUACUAUGACGACUUUGUUAGUCCUCGAAACUAAAAUGGUGGACUGUUAUGUUAGUUUUUUGAUGUUGUAGCUCAUAGAUACCACAAUUGAUGUAUAAAACUAAUUUAAAAUGAUCUUUUUUUGGUCUGAACACAAUUCUGAUAAAACUUAUGACAGACUAAAUUCACUUUCAAGAGUGGAAAAUGUUUUUUUGGAAAUAAAUGUCUAACCCAGUGGUUCCCAAAGUGGGCCGUGAUUGGAAGGGGGGCGUGACGAGGCUAAAAAUAAUGUACAUUGUGUUGCACUGCUAACCAUGGCAAGCGUCAGCUGACCUCCAGGAAAACACAAGGGCGACAAUGACACUACAUCAAAGAUCAAGUACCGAUUAAAACUGGACAUUGAAAAUGAGGUGAGAGUGCCAGUCUCAUAGCUGCACCCAAGACUGGGGAAAAUCUGUGGCACUAAACAAGCGCACUGUAGACAUUGACUUAUUUUAGGGCUGAAAGAAUAUAUUUUUAAGAUGUUACUUAAGUUUUCAAAUUGUUUAUCUUCAGAAAUGCAGAAUUAAAAAAAAUAUAUCAAAAGGUAGUGCUGUUAUUUCUACAAAAGUCUGAAGUUUCAUUGAAGUAAAUUGGAAAAAAAUAGCAACUUGUGACAGACGGUGUGUUUUUCUAUACAUUUACAUAUUUUUCAUUUACAUGUUGAUGUGUACAGUCAGGUGUAGGGGGGCCUGACACAAUUUUUAUCUGCCAAAGGGGGGCCCGGUAGAAAAAGUUUGGAAACCACUGGUCUAACCCCUCCACCCAUAUGCUUCUAACCUUCACAGACUCGAUGAUUUGAUGCCCAUCUUCUAGAUACUUGGUCACAUGAUCAAUUUAUUUUACCAUAUCCAUGCAACAGAGGGUGGUUCAUCUUACCCAAGUCACCCCUAUAUUGGACGCUUUAUUGACUUCUUUCAGUCAUGUGUGUGGUGGAGAAGUAGCAUCUGUUCAUCAGGGUCUAUGGUUCUGAUGGUUACUAUUAUGUUGUUAUGGUUUGAGUUCUCAUCUGUUUUAGUCUCAAAAUUCAUCAAUCGUGUCCAUGCUGUUUCAACUUUAACUCACUCAUACACUCAUUCUUUUAGUUGUAGAUAUGAGACGAGAGCUGAAAACAGCUGUUAGUGUAUUUGUGAAUGUGUGAUCAUUAUUAUAUUAGAGGUUCUUUAAAUCCUUUUUGUGUUUUUCUUGCAUCUUUAAAGGUGGGGUAGGCAGGAUUCUGUUAAAGAAGAGUCUGUUUCUGUGGUGUAUUUACAAAAAAGCUUUUAAUAUCAGUCAAUAGUUAUUAGUUAUUGAUGACAUUUGGUAAUAUAACGAUAUUGCUGUGUUCUCUUAUGUCGGUGUAGACAACAUUUUAACAUUUUUUGAGCAGUCCGCUCUUUCUGACUGUAAACAAAGCCGUUCUCCUUCUCCCCGACCUGAUUGGUUGUGAGACAGACUCCGCACCCCCGUGUUGAUCACCAGCCCAAACAAAGUUAGCGUGCUACAAUAUCUGGCAGUAGAAACUGACCAGAAAUUUCGGAAAAUUGUCCUAAUCCUCCUGUGGCCACGACUGCCAACACAAGCAAGAAAACCAAGUCAAUACCGAAGACUCUGGCGGAAUAACGGGCGCUUCAAAGGAGGUAGACCAGACAAGAGCUAAAAAGCCGGGUCAACAUAAAUGAUCUUGGUGACCCUGUAACCUUCCUGCUGGACAGGUAAACUGCUUUAACAAAGUAGGCCAAGUGUCUGUAACAGAAGUGUUUCUUGUCAAACAGGACCUGCUGUAGCGUGUUGCAGCGCUGCUAAACUGUUAACCUCGGGUCCUGGACUAUGUCACUUUAUCCUAGUUGUAGAAGUCUUGCAAACAUUGUGGGCCUGAUCUACUAAAAUCCCAAAUAGUGAGCGUUAAAUUGCGUGUGCAAACUGAAACUGAAAAAAAAACUGCACAUGCUAUUAGUGGGCGUGUUGUGGGUGAUCUAAUAUCAUUGCGUGCGGAAUUGAUAAUGGGUGCAAAAGUGGUGCGGACUGCUCUCUUUAAACGAUGAUUUUGCGUGCACUAUUGGCUGUCACCAUGGAGAGUUUGUGAGAGCAAAGUGUUUGAAGCCAUGGAGUUGCACAUAUCGUAUUGGGGAACUGCAUAAAAGGCAAAGCAUGUUUAUUUGUAUAGCACCAUUCAUACACAAGACAAUUCAAAGUGCUUUACAGACACAAGAAGAUAUACUAGAAAUCAAAAAAGGGAUUAAAACUAUUUAAAAUCAAUAAGACAAACAGAUUUUUUUCCCCGUCUGUUCCUUGUUUGACCUUAUCAUUUAUGAAAAUCGUCAUUUACUAGAAAAAUGAAAUAAAUCACAAGCUUUUGGACAAGGAUCAUGGCGUGUAGCAUGGCACUUCUGCCUCCUUCUCCCCACAAUGACCGUGUGUAAUGGUUUGUCAGUUUGCACGUGUCUUUCAAAGGUGCUUAAUAUAGACGCAAAACAGCAACUGCAAUGGGUUUCCAGGUUUGAUAGAUCACAUUACAGGUGCUUAAUGAUUUCAAUUGCAUCUGCUCCUCCCAGAAUUUUGCGUGUUCUGAUGAUCUACAUACAUUCUGCAUAUUCAUUGAAGGCAAAUACGCUUAAUCGAUUGGACGCACUGUUUUGCUCAUCUCAAACUACAACAACAUACACAGGGUCUGGACAUCGAGAUGGUGGAGUCCUACAGAUUCCUGGGUGUCCACCUCAACAACAAACUGGACUGGUCAACAAACACAGACGUUCUGUACAAGAAGGGCCAAAGUCGUCUCCACCUGCUGAGGAGACUGAGGUCCUUUGGAGUGUGCAGGACUCUGCUCAGGACUUUCUAUGACUCUGUGGUAGCAUCUGCACUUUUCUAUGCAGUGGUCUGCUAGGGGGCAGGGAGCACCGAGAGGGACAGGAAGAGACUGAAUAGACUGGUCAGGAGGGCCGGUUCUGUCCUGGACUGCUCUUUGGACUCCCUGGAGGAGGUGGGUGAGAGGAGGAUGUUAACAAAGCUUGUAUACAUCAUGGACAAUCCCUCUCAACCACUGCACCAGACUGUGGGGGCUUUAGGCAGCUCCUUCAGCAGCAGACUGAGACUCCCACCCUGCAGGACGGAGCGCUACCGCAGAUCAUUCCUCCCCUCUGCAAUAAGACUUUACAACGAACUGUAAUAAUAACUGGAUUUACACCACCACUUUUUUUAUAGCAUUUAAAUUGUGUAUAUUGUAGAAAGCUUUAUUUUUUCUUCUCCCUUUUCUAUUUUUUUCUUAAUUAUUACAUUUAUUUAAGUUCUUAAUAUUAGGACCCUUAUUGUUAUAACUGCAUUUUUGCACUUUUUGUCUUGUCUGUGAUGCUGUUGUGACAAAAAAAUUUCCCCCAUGGGAGAUCAAUAAAGGAAUAUUCUAUUCUAUUCUAUUCUAUUCAUUAAUCCCGACUGAAGCGAGCUCGCCGAUGUUGAAGCUGUCACAAACCACGAGGGGGAAAGAAUUGCUGAGCUGUCGCAAAGAUGGCGAGUGGAGGAAGUCAUGUAGUUUUUGCACAUGCGCAGUACAAAAUCGGGUUUCCGGGACGCAACAUUUUUUUUCGUAGGACAGUAGGGGAAAAUCCUGCCUCCUUUGCCUCUGAUUGGCUAGAAAAGCUGGAAACGUUGUCACACUCUCAAGCCAAACGGGGGCUUUCGACUCUGUACAUCUAACAGAAUGUUACAGAACGUUAUCGCACUUCUGAAUCUCCUCAUCCUAACCCUAACCCGACAGACGAUGAUGUUUCACAGCCAUUAGGAAUAAUCAAUCGGAGCCCAGCACUUCUAGCCGACCUUUCCCUACCAUCCUACAAAAAAAAAAAAAAAAAAAUUCGCUUCAGGAAUGGAUCAGGUAGCAACAAGCACCAUGCGGUCUGAUUAGAUUGAUAUGUUUACAUUUCAUCUCAGUCAUAGCACCCCCUUGAUGCAGCGGGAAUAUUGUGCUAAUCUUCUGAAUGCAAAAUCUCCAAGACCGUUGAACAUCUCUGCACCAUACCUGCUGCUCCUCACCCAAACAUCUCCACACAUAUAUCAGAGGUCUAACUUCAGAUGGAAAACCAGGUUGUUGUGAGUGUGAGUCAGUCCACAGAAGCGAACCAACUUCGGUAAGUUGGUCAGUGUUUGUCCUCGGGCAGACACAAGCAGCAGGAAACGCUUGUUACCUGUAGACUGAGCUGGAAGUCAUUACUGCAGGUCCGGCCUCAAGUGCCUGACUCAUGCACACACACUCACAAACACACACACACUCAUGCACAUGUGUGUGCUGCAGGCGACAAGGCGAUGGCGAUGCUAAAGACAGGCAGGCGGGAGGGCGGAAGGAAGGAUCCCUGAGAGGAACAGAGGAGGAGAUGAAAGUGAGGAGCAGCAGUUAAUGACAGAGGAGAGCACAUCAGAAACCGAGAGGAGUCUAUUGGAGUUAAUAAGACUGAGCCUUGUCCGCUUGGGCCCUCUGGAGACACCAGGGGACACAGAAAGACCUGUUUCUUGUUAUCUCAUGGGUCCCAGAAAGGUCUGAAAGCUUUAGGUGGCACCACUGUAAAGUCAGAGUCACUUUCUCAUCAUCACUGACCGUUCCUGUUUUCUUCAUGUUUGAAUACAAAGUUACAAAAAGUAAAAAAAAACACCAGAGUGACCCUUUACUGUUGUCCUUGUUCCAGAUUCUGCUCUCUACACUGAGCAGAGCCGGCACCAGAACCCGUCCUUUAGUGCCAAACUAAAUAAAUGACCCAGAGCCUGAAGACAGCGCUGGUUUGUUGACCUUUUCUAUCACCAGUCCCUCAGGGGUCGAGUCUGGACUCUGAGCUGCUGACUCUUUGUACGGUCUGAACCCCGUCCAGGACUUCAGGGCUGGACUCCUGUUGUUGGCUAAUUAAGGAGCCGGCUCGCCAACGCGCUAAGAUCUCACCAAAGAGGGAGUUUAAUUUGAACCACAGACUGUGUUGAAGAGAAACUCUCAGAUCUUGAGUAACUGAGAAUCACUCGGCCUGUGUGAGGAGUGUUUAUUCCAGGAAUAACAAACGGACAGUUUGUGUUUGACCGCACAUCAGUUUGUGUUACAGCUCAGACAAAAGGGCACUGUUGUGUUUUGAAAUCUGCUAAUUAAUGUUACUUUAAAUGAGAGCUACCUUUCAGAAGUCCCCUGAAGUCCUCAGAGGUCUGAACAUGCUGCUGCUGCUGCACAGUAAUAACAUCAACAGCCUAAUAGGAACAAUAAGAAAACAGGCACAGAUGUGUUUACAUAGACGUCUGGAAGCCAGUGAGAUGAACUGAUUGGGUCAGGAUUACGAGGGCCUGUAGGCAGGAUGGAGGAGGAGGAGGCUGGGUCCAAGCUGACUUUAUCUGAACUGGAAAUUAAACACAGAUACGGCGCUGAUCAGGGUCUUUAUAUGAGAGGAAUGAUCAAGCAUUUCUACACUGUGAGUAAAAUGUUCAAAUUUGAUGUGAUAGCUGAUUUUAAGGCAUCCCUGUGGCAGCAGAACGAGCCAAUGUGAAGAAUAAUGAGUCCUUAUUACAAUCUCACUGAAGUUUUCAUGGGCCUGUUGACUUUAGCUUCAGUCUUCUAGCACACCAUCAAGCAUCUAUUUAAACUGCAAAGGUGAUGAUAUCCACUGGAAUAACUGGUUUCCUCCAUACCAAAUAGACUAGGUACUAACCUCUCUAUUGUUCACUCAGUGUGCUUCAGUGUUUUCGUUGGCUCCAGCAGUAAGUCCUUCCUGUUUGUGUGUUUGGAUUUCCCAUCAUCCACUGCUUUAAUUUCUUUCUCGGCUUUAUUCUGUCCUAAUGAUCAUGAGGAACUUUGUUCUACUUACAGUGAGGGAUCAUCAUCCAGAUUUUCCCCUAUGGAGACACAAUCAAUGCCGAGAUAAUCCAGUGUUUGAAGAUAUAAACAGUGUUGUGCUGGUUACUGAAAAAUAGUAACUAGUUACAGUUACUGGUUACUGUGUAAAAAAAGUAACUCAGUUACUGAAACCAAAAAGUAAUACAUUACUGAGAAAGUCACUAUUUGGUUACUGUAAAACGUUCUUCCAAUGCUCCCUUUACAUAAAGGUGGUUUGACAAAGUUCCCCUCUAGCCGUCAUUUCAGUUCUGUACUGAUGCUGAAUAAAACAAACCUUUGGUUAAAACAACCGUUUUAAUUUAUUUAUAUCCACAUCACUGAUCUAAUCAUCCAAGCAAUA